rnacentral:rRNA from 1 species
GAGUUUGAUCAUGGCUCAGGACGAACGCUGGCUGCGUGCUUAACACAUGCAAGUCGAACGCUGAAGCCUGGUGCUUGCACCGGGUGGAUGAGUGGCGAACGGGUGAGUAACACGUGAGUAACCUGCCCCCGACUUCGGGAUAAGCCCGGGAAACUGGGUCUAAUACCGGAUAUGAGCGUUCCUCGCAUGAGGGAUGCUGGAAAGUCUUUUCGGUUGGGGAUGGGCUCGCGGCCUAUCAGUUUGUUGGUGAGGUAAUGGCUCACCAAGACGACGACGGGUAGCCGGCCUGAGAGGGCGACCGGCCACACUGGGACUGAGACACGGCCCAGACUCCUACGGGAGGCAGCAGUGGGGAAUAUUGCACAAUGGGGGAAACCCUGAUGCAGCGACGCAGCGUGCGGGAUGACGGCCUUCGGGUUGUAAACCGCUUUCAGCAGGGAAGAAGCCUUUCGGGGUGACGGUACCUGCAGAAGAAGUACCGGCUAACUACGUGCCAGCAGCCGCGGUAAUACGUAGGGUACAAGCGUUGUCCGGAAUUAUUGGGCGUAAAGAGCUCGUAGGGUGGGUUGGUCACGUCUGCUGUGGAAACGCAACGCUUAACGUUGCGC